AGGAAGGGAAGGGAGAGUGGAGGAAAAAUCCAAGCUUUACUCUAGGAGAGCGCCUGCGUAGGAAGGUGGGGAGGGCGAGGAGGUGGUAGUCGUGGAUCCACACGAAAUCAUCGUCCGGGUUGAGGAGCUCGAUGAGGCGCUCGGCGAAGAGCUUGUUGGCAGAGAGGUAGGAAAGCCAGAGGGUGCGGUCGAAGGCGAGGCCACCGGUGGAGGAGGGCGACAGGGGGAGAAGGUAGUGGAGGAGAGGCCAGAGGUAGUGCUUGCAGAAGCAAUGGUAGAAGCGGUGGUGGAGGUCGGCAGGGAGGAAGACAGGGAGGCAGCGGAAUCUGGCGUAAAGGAGUUGGGAGACGGCGGCGCGGUGGGCGGGGCCGACGGCGGCAGGGAGGGUGCCGACGUGGAGGACUUCGGCGUCGGGCGGGAGGCCAGAUCGGAGCUGGAGCCCGAGAGCGUCGGGGUCCCAGGCGAAUGCCAGCCCGGAGGACUCCGCGGGAUCAGCGGCGACGCGGAGGGGGAGGCGGUGGGCGACGACGAUCCGCCGGUCGCGGGCCGGCGUGGGUGAGAAGGAGGAGAGCUGGUCGUCAUCUCCAGGUGCGGCGUCGGCGUCGGCGUCGGACAUGAGGAGAGCGGGGGGCAGUCGGGGAGGGCGGCGAGGGUCGGGCUCGUCGGCAGCGACGUCGAGGAGGUUGGAAGAUGAGAUGGAAGGCAUGGCCGUAGUGCCGCGAUUAGGGUUAGCUAUCGGUGGGUGUUACAGAGGGGGAGGAGGAAGGAGAGAGGCGGAAGCAUUUGAUGCGAC
rnacentral:lncRNA from 1 species